rnacentral:rRNA from 1 species
UACGUAGGGUGCAAGCGUUGUCCGGAAUUAUUGGGCGUAAAGAGCUCGUAGGCGGCCUGUUGCGUCCGCUGUGAAAACCCGCGGCUCAACUGCGGGCCUGCAGCCGAUACGGGCAGGCUAGAGUUCGGUAGGGGAGACUGGAAUUCCUGGUGUAGCGGUGAAAUGCGCAGAUAUCAGGAGGAACACCGGUGGCGAAGGCGGGUCUCUGGGCCGAUACUGACGCUGAGGAGCGAAAGCGUGGGGAGCGAACAGG